GACGAACGCUGGCGGCGUGCUUAACACAUGCAAGUCGAACGGAAAGGCCCUGCUUUUGUGGGGUGCUCGAGUGGCGAACGGGUGAGUAACACGUGAGUAACCUGCCCUUGACUUUGGGAUAACUUCAGGAAACUGGGGCUAAUACCGGAUAGGAGCUCCUGCUGCAUGGUGGGGGUUGGAAAGUUUCGGCGGUUGGGGAUGGACUCGCGGCUUAUCAGCUUGUUGGUGGGGUAGUGGCUUACCAAGGCUUUGACGGGUAGCCGGCCUGAGAGGGUGACCGGCCACAUUGGGACUGAGAUACGGCCCAGACUCCUACGGGAGGCAGCAGUGGGGAAUAUUGCACAAUGGGCGGAAGCCUGAUGCAGCAACGCCGCGUGCGGGAUGACGGCCUUCGGGUUGUAAACCGCUUUCGCCUGUGACGAAGCGUGAGUGACGGUAAUGGGUAAAGAAGCACCGGCUAACUACGUGCCAGCAGCCGCGGUGAUACGUAGGGUGCGAGCGUUGUCCGGAUUUAUUGGGCGUAAAGGGCUCGUAGGUGGUUGAUCGCGUCGGAAGUGUAAUCUUGGGGCUUAACCCUGAGCGUGCUUUCGAUACGGGUUGACUUGAGGAAGGUAGGGGAGAAUGGAAUUCCUGGUGGAGCGGUGGAAUGCGCAGAUAUCAGGAGGAACACCAGUGGCGAAGGCGGUUCUCUGGGCCUUUCCUGACGCUGAGGAGCGAAAGCGUGGGGAGCGAACAGGCUUAGAUACCCUGGUAGUCCACGCUGUAAACGGUGGGUACUAGGUGUGGGGUCCAUUCCACGGGUUCCGUGCCGUAGCUAACGCUUUAAGUACCCCGCCUGGGGAGUACGGCCGCAAGGCUAAAACUCAAAGGAAUUGACGGGGCCCCGCACAAGCGGCGGAGCAUGCGGAUUAAUUCGAUGCAACGCGUAGAACCUUACCUGGGUUUGACAUGGAUCGGGAGCGCUCAGAGAUGGGUGUGCCUCUUUUGGGGUCGGUUCACAGGUGGUGCAUGGCUGUCGUCAGCUCGUGUCGUGAGAUGUUGGGUUAAGUCCCGCAACGAGCGCAACCCUUGUUCACUGUUGCCAGCACGUUAUGGUGGGGACUCAGUGGAGACCGCCGUGGUCAACUCGGAGGAAGGUGGGGAUGACGUCAAGUCAUCAUGCCCCUUAUGUCCAGGGCUUCACGCAUGCUACAAUGGCUGGUACAGAGAGUGGCGAGCCUGUGAGGGUGAGCGAAUCUCGGAAAGCCGGUCUCAGUUCGGAUUGGGGUCUGCAACUCGACCUCAUGAAGUCGGAGUCGCUAGUAAUCGCAGAUCAGCAACGCUGCGGUGAAUACGUUCCCGGG
rnacentral:rRNA from 1 species